rnacentral:rRNA from 1 species
AGUGGCGGACGGGUGAGUAACGCGUGAGAAUCUGCCUUCAGGUCGGGGACAACAGUUGGAAACGACUGCUAAUACCCGAUGUGCAGCAAUGUAAAAGAUUUAUUGCCUGAAGAUGAGCUCGCGUCUGAUUAGCUAGUAGGUGUGGUAAUGGCGCACCUAGGCGACGAUCAGUAACUGGUCUGAGAGGAUGACCAGUCACACUGGGACUGAGACACGGCCCAGACUCCUACGGGAGGCAGCAGUGGGGAAUUUUCCGCAAUGGGCGAAAGCCUGACGGAGCAAUACCGCGUGAGGGACGACGGCUUUUGGGUUGUAAACCUCUUUUCCCUGGGAAGAAGAUCUGACGGUACCAGGGGAAUCAGCAUCGGCUAACUUCGUGCCAGCAGCCGCGGUAAUACGAGGGAUGCAAGCGUUAUCCGGAAUUAUUGGGCGUAAAGCGUCCGCAGGUGGCUCUGUAAGUCUGUCGUUAAAGAAUGGAGCUUAACUCCAUACAGGCGAUGGAAACUACAAGGCUAGAGUUUGGUAGGGGUCACGGGAAUUCUUAGUGUAGCGGUGAAAUGCGUAGAUAUUAAGAAGAACACCAGCGGCGAAAGCGCGUGACUGGGCCAGUACUGACACUCAUGGACGAAAGCUAGGGGAGCGAAAGGGAUUAGAUACCCCUGUAGUCCUAGCCGUAAACGAUGAUAACUAGGUGUUGCUC